rnacentral:rRNA from 1 species
GAUGAACGCUGGCGGCGUGCCUAAUACACGCAAGUCGAGCGAACGGACGAGAAGCUUGCUUCUCUGAUGUUAGCGGCGGACGGGUGAGUAACACGUGGAUAACCUACCUAUAAGACUAGGAUAACUUCGGGAAACCGGAGCUAAUACCGGAUGAUAUUUUGAACCGCAUGGUUCAAAAGUGAAAGACGGUCUUGCUGUCACUUAUAGAUGGAUCCGCGCUGCAUUAGCUAGUUGGUAAGGUAACGGCUUACCAAGGCAACGAUGCAUAGCCGACCUGAGAGGGUGAUCGGCCACACUGGAACUGAGACACGGUCCAGACUCCUACGGGAGGCAGCAGUAGGGAAUCUUCCGCAAUGGGCGAAAGCCUGACGGAGCAACGCCGCGUGAGUGAUGAAGGUCUUCGGAUCGUAAAACUCUGUUAUUAGGGAAGAACAUAUGUGUAAGUAACUGUGCACAUCUUGACGGUACCUAAUCAGAAAGCCACGGCUAACUACGUG